GAUGAACGCUGGCGGCGUGCCUAAUACAUGCAAGUCGAGCGAACGGACGAGAAGCUUGCUCUUCUGAUGUUAGCGGCGGACGGGUGAGUAACACGUGGAUAACCUACCUAUAAGACUGGGAUAACUUCGGGAAACCGGAGCUAAUACCGGAUAAUAUUUUGAACCGCAUGGUUCAAAAGUGAAAGACGGUCUUGCUGUCACUUAUAGAUGGAUCCGCGCUGCAUUAGCUAGUUGGUAAGGUAACGGCUUACCAAGGCAACGAUGCGUAGCCGACCUGAGAGGGUGAUCGGCCACACUGGAACUGAGACACGGUCCAGACUCCUACGGGAGGCAGCAGUAGGGAAUCUUCCGCAAUGGGCGAAAGCCUGACGGAGCAACGCCGCGUGAGUGAUGAAGGUCUUCGGAUCGUAAAACUCUGUUAUUAGGGAAGAACAUAUGUGUAAGUAUCUGUGCACGUCUUGACGGUACCUAAUCAGAAAGCCACGGCUAACUACGUG
rnacentral:rRNA from 1 species